GAUGAGCGCUGGCGGCGUGCCUAACACAUGCAAGUCGAACGGUGAAGGCGGAGCUUGCUCUGCUGGAUCAGUGGCGAACGGGUGAGUAACACGUGAGCAAUCUGCCCCUGACUCUGGGAUAAGCGCUGGAAACGGCGUCUAAUACUGGAUACGAGCUGCGAAGGCAUCUUCAGCAGCUGUAAAGAAUUUCGGUCAGGGAUGAGCUCGCGGCCUAUCAGCUUGUUGGUGAGGUAAUGGCUCACCAAGGCGUCGACGGGUAGCCGGCCUGAGAGGGUGACCGGCCACACUGGGACUGAGACACGGCCCAGACUCCUACGGGAGGCAGCAGUGGGGAAUAGUGCACAAUGGGCGAAAGCCUGAUGCAGCAACGCCGCGUGAGGGACGACGGCCUUCGGGUUGUAAACCUCUUUUAGCAGGGAAGAAGCGAAAGUGACGGUACCUGCAGAAAAAGCGCCGGCUAACUACGUG
rnacentral:rRNA from 1 species